rnacentral:rRNA from 1 species
GGGUGCGAUCGUACCAGCACUAAUGCACCGAAUCCCAUCAGAACUCCACAGUUAAGCGUGUUUGGGCGAGAAUGGUACUUGUUGAUAUGUCACAUAUGAUUUCUAUCA